UACGUAGGGUGCAAGCGUUGUCCGGAAUUAUUGGGCGUAAAGAGCUUGUAGGCGGUUUGUCGCGUCUGCUGUGAAAUUUCGGGGCUCAACCCCGAACUUGCAGUGGGUACGGGCAGACUAGAGUGUGGUAGGGGAGACUGGAAUUCCUGGUGUAGCGGUGAAAUGCGCAGAUAUCAGGAGGAACACCGAUGGCGAAGGCAGGUCUCUGGGCCACUACUGACGCUGAGACACGAAAGCGUGGGGAGCAAACAGG
rnacentral:rRNA from 1 species